GCGUUUUUAGUUUAAUUGGAUAAAACAUUAAUCUUCUAAAUUAAGUAUGUAGGUUCGAGUCCUUCAAAAUGCG
rnacentral:tRNA from 1 species